rnacentral:rRNA from 1 species
AUUGAACGCUGGCGGCAGGCUUAACACAUGCAAGUCGAGCGGAGCGAGGGUGCUUGCACCUUAGCUUAGCGGCGGACGGGUGAGUAAGGCUUAGGAAUCUGCCUAUUAGCGGGGGACAACAUUCCGAAAGGGAUGCUAAUACCGCAUACGCCCUACGAGGGAAAGCAGGGGAUCUUCGGACCUUGCGCUAAGAGAUGAGCCUAAGUCGGGUUAGCUAGUUGGUGGGGUAAAGGCCUACCAAGGCGACGAUCUGUAGCGGGUCUGAGAGGAUGAUCCGCCACACUGGGACUGAGACGCGGCCCAGACUCCUACGGGAGGCAGCAGUGGGGAAUAUUGGACAAUGGGCGGAAGCCUGAUCCAGCCAUGCCGCGUGUGUGAAGAAGGCCUUUUGGUUGUAAAGCACUUUAAGCGAGGAGGAGGCUACUAGUAUUAAUACUACUGGAUAGUGGACGUUACUCGCAGAAUAAACACCGGCUAACUCUGUGCCAGCCGCCGCGGUAAGAC